rnacentral:rRNA from 1 species
AUUGAACGCUGGCGGCAUGCCUUACACAUGCAAGUCGAACGGCAGCACGGGUGCUUGCCCCUGGUGGCGAGUGGCGAACGGGUGAGUAAUACAUCGGAACAUGUCCUGUAGUGGGGGAUAGCCCGGCGAAAGCCGGAUUAAUACCGCAUACGAUCUACGGAUGAAAGCGGGGGACCUUCGGGCCUCGCGCUAUAGGGUUGGCCGAUGGCUGAUUAGCUAGUUGGUGGGGUAAAGGCCAACCAAGGCGACGAUCAGUAGCUGGUCUGAGAGAACGACCAGCCGAGCGGGGAAGGAAACACGCCACAGACUCCGGCGGGAGGCGGAAGUGGGGAAUUUGGAAAAAUGGGCGAAAGCUGGACCAAGAAAGGCCGCGUGUGUGAAGAAGGCCUUGGGUUGUAAAAGCACUUUUGGCGGAAAAAAAACCCUGGGCCAUAAUAGGGGGGGGGGAGGAGGGAACGGGAGAAAAAACCACCGCAUAACUCGGGG